UACGUAGGGGGCAAGCGUUGUCCGGAAUCAUUGGGCGUAAAGAGCGCGUAGGCGGCCCUGUAAGUCCGCUGUGAAAGUCAAGGGCUCAACCCUUGAAUGCCGGUGGAUACUGCAGGGCUAGAGUCCGGAAGAGGCGAGUGGAAUUCCUGGUGUAGCGGUGAAAUGCGCAGAUAUCAGGAGGAACACCGGUGGCGAAGGCGGGUCUCUGGGCCAAAACUGACGCUGAGGAGCGAAAGCGUGGGGAGCGAACAGG
rnacentral:rRNA from 1 species